CACUAAUAUGAUAUUUCUGAACUAUAUUUUUCAGCAAAGGAUCAGUCAAGACUGAAGUUGAUCUGCUUUUCAACAGUACAAAUGUUGUGCCAUCAAAUAAUGAAAUUGGCAAUGCAAUAUUGAACAACGUACAAUUUCUAAAUGACCUAAACGCAACUGCUAAUUCAGUUGACAUUAAUGGAACACAAAUAUCAUCCAUUACUGAACCAACAACUGAAUAUUCAACACCCACAACAACACCUGCUCAAACAUCCACCACUACUGCAGCAGAAACAUCUACAACAACAGAGUCCUCCACAACAGAAUCCUCCACUGCUCCUCCUGUGGAAACGUCUACUACAACCAUAGUAGUAACAUCUACUAUAGAAACAGACUCCUCCACAACAACUCCUGUUGAAACAUCAACCACUACUGAAUCAAUAACAUCUACUAUGACAACAGAGUCUUCCACAGCAACUCUUGAAGAAACAGUCACAACUGAAUACUCAACACUCACAACACCUGCUCAGACAUCCACCUCUACUGUAGCAGAAACAUCUACAACAACAGAGCCCACAACAACUCCUGUGGAAACGUCUACUACUACCAUAGCAGUAACAUCUACUACAGCAACAGAGUCCUCCACAACUACUCCUGCUGAUACAUCCACCACUACUUCAGCUGUAACAUCUACUACACCAACAGAGUCCUCUACAACAACUCUGGAAGAAACAUCAACAACUGAAUACUCAACACUCACAACAAUGCCUGCUCAAACAUCCACUACUACUGCAGCAGAACCAUCUACAACAACAGAGCCCUCCACAACAACUACUGUAGAAAUGUCUACUACUAACCUAGCAGUAACAUCUACUACGCAAACAGAGUCCUCCACGACAACUCUUGAAGAUACAGCUACUACUACAACAGAAUUAACAUCUACUACUAUAACAGAGCCCUCAACAACCACUCCUGCUGAAAUAUCCACUGCUACUGUUGCAGAAACAUCUACAACAACAACAACAACAGAAUCCUACACAACAACUGCUGCUGAAACAUCCACCAGUACUUCAGCUGUAAUGUCUACUACAACCACAGAGCCCUCAACAACUGUUGUUGAAACAUCUACCACUACUGCAGCAGAAACAUCUACUACAACCAGAGAGUCAGCCACAACAACUAUUGAAGAAACAUUCACAACAACAGAGCCCUCCACAACAACUCCUGUGGAAACGUCCACUACUACCAUAGCAGUAACAUCUACUACACCAACAGAGUCCUCCACAACUACUCCUGAAGAAACGUCUUCCACUACCAUAGAAGUAACAUCUACUACACUAACAGAGUCCUCCACAACAACUCUUGGAGAAACAUCCACUACUAAAGUAGAGUUAACAUCUACUACUAUAACAGAGCUCUCAACAACAACUCCUGCUGCAACAUCCACAACUUCAGUUGUAACAUCUACAAUGCCAGAGUCCUCCAAAACAACUCUUGAAGAAACAUCCACUACUACAGUAGAGUUAACAUCUACAACAACAGAGCCCUCCACAACAACUCCUGUGGAAACGUCUACUACUACAAUAGCAGUCACAUCUACUACAGCAGCAGAAUCCUCCACAACAACUCUUGAAGAAACAUCCACAACUGAACAGUCAACACCCACAACAACUCCUGCUGAAAUAUCCACCACUAAUGCAGCAGAAACAUCUACAACAACAGAGCCCUCCACAACAACUCCUGAAGAAACUUCUACUACUACAAUAAAAGUAACAUCUACUACACCAACAGAGCCCUCAACAACCACUUCUGCUGAAACAUCCACCACUUCAGUUGUAACAUCUACUACAUCAGAGUCCUCGACAACAACUCUUGAAGAAACAUCCACUACUACAGUAGAGUUAACAUCUACUAUUAUAACAGAGCCCUCCACAUCAACUCCUAUGGAAACGUCUACUACUACCACUGCAGUAACAUCUACAACAACAACAGAAUCCUCCACAACAACUCCAGUUGAAACAUCCACCACUGAAUACUCAACACCCGCAACACCUGCUCAGACAUCCACCACUACUGAAGCCGUUGCAUCUACUACAGCAACAGACUCCUCCACAACAAGUUUUGAAGAAACAGCCACUUCUACAGUAGAAUUAACAUCUACUACUAUAACAGAGCCAUCAACAACAACUCUAGCUGAAAUAUCUACCACUACUGCAGCUGUAACUUCUACAACAACAACAACAGAGCCCUCCACAACAACUCUUGAUGACACAUCCACCACUACUGCAGAAGUAACAUCUAUUAUAACAACAGAGCCCUCAACGAUUCCUGUUGAGAAAUCCACCAGUACAGCAGAAAUAACAUACACUACUACAGCAGAGCCCUCAACAACAACAUUUGAAGACACAUCCACCACUACUGAAACAGUAACAUCUAUUUCAACAACAGAGACACCCACAACUACUCUUGAAGAAACAUCCACCAUUACUGCAACAGUAACAUCUACUGCAACAACAGAGUUCACCACAACUACUUCUGCUGAAACAUCCUCCACAUCUGCAGCAGUAACAUCUACAACAACAAAGACAACAUCUCUCUCUACUACUGCAAAUGCAGUAUCUGGAAACGUAGUAGUAAUAACACUGUUUUUCAAAUCCCAAGACACAUUUAUAGAUGACUUCAAUGAUAACAGUUCUCCCGCUUUCAAGAAAAGGGCAUCAUUUGUUGAGCAACUUUUUCAUGAGCUUUUGAAAGGGUGGUUUAAGUCUUUCCUAGGAGCCAUCGUCAAGAAAUUCAGCAAAGGAUCAGUCAACACUGAAGUUGGUCUUCUUUUUAACAGUACAGAUGUUGUACCAUCAAAUAAUGAAAUUGGCAAUGCAAUAUUGAACAACGCACAAUUUCUAAAUGACCUAAACGCAACUGCUAAUUCAGUUGACAUUAAUGGAACACAAAUAUCAUCAAUUACUGAACCAACAACGGAAUACUCAACACCCACAACAACACCUGCUCAAACAUCCACCCUUACUGCAGCAGAAACAUCUACAACAACAGAGUCCUCCACAACAGAGGCCUCCACUGCUCCUCCUGUGGAAACGUCUACUACUACCAUAGUAGUAACAUCUACUAUAGAAACAGACUCCUCCACAACAACUCCUGUUGAAACAUCCACCACUACUGAAUCAAUAACAUCUACUAUGACAACAGAGUCUUCCACAGCAACUCUUGAAGAAACAGUCACAACUGAAUACUCAACACUCACAACAACACCUGCUCAGACGUCCACCUCUACUGUAGCAGAAACAUCUACAACAACAGAGCCCUCCACAACAGAGUCCUCCACAACAUCUCCUGUGGAAACAUCUACUACUACCAUAGCAGUAACAUCUACUACAGAAACAGAAUCCUCCACAACUACUCCUGCUGAUAUAUCCACCACUACUUCAGCUGUAACAUCUACUACACAAACAGAGUCCUCUACAACAACUCUAGGAGAAACAUCCAUAACUGAAUACUCAACACCCACAACAACGCCUCAAACAUCCACUACUACUGCAGCAGAAAUAUCUACAACAACAGAGCCCUCCACAACAACUACUGUAGAAAUGUCUACUACUAACAUAGCAGUAACAUCUACUACACAAACAGAGUCCUCCACGACAACUCUUGAAGAUACAUCUACUACUACAAUAGAAUUAACAUCUACUACUAUAACAGAGCCCUCAACAACCACUCCUGCUGAAAUAUCCACUGCUACUGUUGCAGAAACAUCUACAACAGCAACAACAGAAUCCUCCACAACAACUGCUGCUGAAACAUCCACCAGUACUUCAGCUGUAAUGUCUACUACAACCACAGAGCCCUCAACAACUGUAAUUGAAACAUCUACCACUACUGCAGCAGAAACAUCUUCUACAACCGGAGAGUCAGCCACAACAACUAUUGAAGAAACAUCCACAACAACAGAGCCCUCCACAACAACUCCUGUGGAAACAUCCACUACUACCAUAGCAGUAACAUCUACUACACCAACAGAGUCCUCCACAACAACUGUUGAAGAAUCAUCCACAGCUGAAUACUCAACAACACCUGCUCAAACACCCACCACUACAGCAGCAGAAACAUCUACAACAACAGAACCCUUCACAACAACUUCUGUAGAAACAUCUACUACUACCUUAGCAGUAAAGUCUACUACAGCAAUAGAAUCCUCCACAACAAUUUUUGAGGNNNNNNNNNNNNNNNNNNNNNNNNNNNNNNNNNNNNNNNNNNNNNNNNNNNNNNNNNNNNNNNNNNNNNNNNNNNNNNNNNNNNNNNNNNNNNNNNNNNNCAAUAUUGAACAACACACAAUUUCUAAAUGACCUAAACGCCACUGCUAAUUCAGUUGACAUUAAUGGAACACAAAUAUCAUCCAUUACUGAGCCAACAACUGAAUACUCAACACCCACAACAACACCUGCUCAAACAUUCACCACUACUGCAGCAGAAACAUCUACAACAGAACCCUUCACAACAACUCUUGAAGAAACAUCCACUACUACAUUAGAGUUAACAUCUACAACAACAGAGCCCUCCACAACAACUUCUGAAGAGACGUUUGCUACUACCAAAGAAGUAACCUCUACACCAACAGAGUCCUUCACAACAACUCUAGAGGAAACAUCCACGACUGAAUACUCAACAGCCACAACAAUGCCUGCUCAAACAUCCACCACAACUACAGUAGAAACAUCUACAACAGCAGAGCCCUCCACAUCAACUCCUGAAGAAACGUCUUCUACUACCAUAGAAGUAACCUCUACUACACCAACAGAGUCCUCCACGACAACUCUUGAAGAAACAACCACUACUACAUUAGAGUUAACAUCUACAACAACAGAGCCCUCCACAACCACUCCUUUGGAGAAGUCUACUACUACCAUAGAAGUAACAUCUACAGCAGCAGAGUCCUCCACAACAACUCUUGAAGAAACAUCCACCACUACUGAAGCAGAAACAUCUACAACAACAAAGCCCUCUACAACAACUCCUGUAGAAACGUCUUCUACUACCAUAGAAGUAACAUCUACUACACCAACAGAGUCCUCCACAACAACUCUUGGAGAAACAUCCACUACUACAGUAGAAUUAACAUCUUCUUCUAUAACAGAGCCCUCAACAACAUCCACAACUUCACUUGUAACAUCUACUACGCCAGAGUUCUCCACUACAACACUUGAAGAAACAUCCACUUCUACAGUAGAGUUAACAUCUACAACAACAGAGCCAUCAACAACAACUCCUUUGGAAAAGUCUACUACUACCAUAGAAGUAACAUCUACUACAACAACAGAGCCCUCGACAACAACUCUUGAAGAAACAUCUACAACUGAACACUCAACACCAACAACAACUCCUUCUGAAAUAUCCACUACUACUGAAGCAGAAACAUCUACAACAACAGAGCCCUAUACAAUAACUCCUGAAGAAACGUCUUCUACUACCAUAGCAGUUACAUCUACUACAGCAGCAGAAUACUCCACAACAACUCUUGAAGAAACGUCUACUACUACAAUAGAAGAAACAUCUACUACUAUAACAGAGCCCUCAACAACAACAACUGAACCAUCCUCCACAACAACAGCUGAAAUAUCCACCACUACUGAAGCAGAAACAUCUACAAC
rnacentral:lncRNA from 1 species